rnacentral:rRNA from 1 species
AGCUCCGGGGGCGAAUAUAGAAGUUGCUGUGAUUACAAAGCUCGUAGCUCAAUUUCCGGUAGUGCUUGACCGUCCCUUUGGCUUUUGCCAUUGUUUGGAUGUGUUGACACAGCCGUCUUUUUCUGGCUGUUAAAGGCUGGGAAUCGUUUACUGUAAAAAAAUUAGAGUGUUCAAAACAUUUCUUAGGGAAAGAAUAUAUUAGUAUGGAAUAAUAAGAUAAGAUCGUGAUUUUAUUUUGUUGGUUUGUGAAUCAUGGUAAUAAUUAAUAGGGACAAUCGGGGAUAUUCGUAUUUAGAUGCCAGAGGUGAAAUUCUUGGAUUUUCGAAAGACGAACUACUGCGAAGGCAUUUAUCAAGGAUGUUUUCAUUGG